rnacentral:rRNA from 1 species
AUUGAACGCUGGCGGCAGGCCUAACACAUGCAAGUCGAACGGUAACAGGAAGAAGCUUGCUUCUUUGCUGACGAGUGGCGGACGGGUGUGUAAUGUCUGGGAAACUGCCUGAUGGAGGGGGAUAACUACUGGAAACGGUAGCUAAUACCGCAUAACGUCGCAAGACCAAAGAGGGGGACCUUCGGGCCUCUUGCCAUCGGAUGUGCCCAGAUGGGAUUAGCUAGUAGGUGGGGUAACGGCUCACCUAGGCGACGAUCCCUAGCUGGUCUGAGAGGAUGACCGGCCACACUGGAACUGAGACACGGUCCAGACUCCUACGGGAGGCAGCAGUGGGGAAUAUUGCACAAUGGGCGCAAGCCUGAUGCAGCCAUGCCGCGUGUAUGAAGAAGGCCUUCGGGUUGUAAAGUACUUUCAGCGGGGAGGAAGGGAGUAAAGUUAAUACCUUUGCUCAUUGACGUUACCCGCAGAAGAAGCACCGGCUAACUCCGUG